rnacentral:rRNA from 1 species
GAUGAACGCUGGCGGCGUGCUUAACACAUGCAAGUCGAACGGUAACGCUCCAACGUUUUGUUGUUUGCCAGUGGCGAACGGGCGAGUAAGACGUGAGCAACCAGCCGCUUACUCGAGGAUAACAGCUGGAGACGACUGCUAAUACCGGAGCAUAACGAUGAACGCAUGAUCUGGGGGGGGAAAGAUCUUUCGGUCGGGGAUUGUCUCGCGGCCUAUCUGCUUGUUAGUGAGGGAAUGGCUCACCAAGGCGUCGACGGGUAGCCGGCCUGAGAGGGUGACCGGCCACACUGGGACUGAGACAGGGACCAGACUCGUACGGGGCGCAGCGGUGGGGAGUCUGACGCAGUGGGCGAGCGCCUAAUGCAGAAACGCCGCGUGUGGGAAGUACGCCUUCGGGUUGUAAACCUCUUAUAGCAGGGAAGAAGCGACAGUGACGGUACCUGCAGAAAAAGCGCCGGCUAACUACGUG